ACUGCUCAGUAACACGUUGAUAAUCUGCCUUUAGGUCAGGGAUAGGCUCGGGAAACUGAGGGUAACACCUGAUAGAAGAUUAGUUCUGGAAUGAUUUUUCUUUGAAAAGCAAUGCCUAAAGAUGAGUCAGCGGCCGAUUAGGCUGUUGGUGAGGUAAUGGCUCACCAAACCGAAGAUCGGUACGGGCCUUGAGAGAGGUAGCCCGGAGAAGGACACUGAGAUACUGGUCCUAGCCCUACGGGGUGCAGCAGGCGCGAAACCUUUACAAUGCACGAAAGUGUGAUAAGGGAAUCCAAAGUGCUUAUGUUUUUACAUAGGCUUUUGCCAAGAGUAAAUAUCUUGGAGAAUAAGUGAUGGGUAAGACUGGUGCCAGCAGCCGCGGUAACACCAGCGUCACAAGUGGGAAUCAUAUUUAUUGGGCCUAAAGCGUCCGUAGCCGGCGUAGUAAAUUUAUUGUGAAAUCAUUGCGCUUAACGCAAUGGCGGGCAGUAAACACUGCUAUGCUUGAGACUGGAAGGAGCCAGAAGUAUUCUUGGGGGAGCGGUAAAAUGCUAUAAUCCCAAGAGGACUACCUGUGGCGAAGGCGUCUGGCUAGUACAGUUCUGACGGUGAGGGACGAAAGCUAGGGGAGCGAUCCGGAUUAGAUACCCGAGUAGUCCUAGCUGUAAACGCUGCGAGUUAGGUGUUGCAUAUUCCACGAGAAUGUGCAGUGUCGAAGAGAAGUCGUUAAACUCGCCGCCUGGGAAGUAUGGUCGCAAGGCUGAAACUUAAAGGAAUUGGCGGGGGAGCAC
rnacentral:rRNA from 1 species